CCUACGGGUGGCAGCAGUGAGGAAUAUUGGUCAAUGGACGAGAGUCUGAACCAGCCAAGUAGCGUGAAGGAUGACUGCCCUAUGGGUUGUAAACUUCUUUUAUAUGGGAAUAAAAUGUUCCACGUGUGGGAUUUUGUAUGUACCAUAUGAAUAAGGAUCGGCUAACUCCGCGCCAGCAGCCGCGGUAAUACGGAGGAUCCGAGCGUUACCCGGAUUUAUUGGGUUUAAAGGGAGCGUAGGUGGAUUGUUAAGUUCGUUGUGAAAGUUUGCGGCUCAACCGUAAAAUUGCAGUUGAAACUGGCAGUCUUGAGUACAGUAGAGGUGGGCGGAAUUCGUGGUGUAGCGGUGAAAUGCUUAGAUAUCACGAAGAACUCCGAUUGCGAAGGCAGUUCACUGGACUGCAACUGACACUGAGGCUCGAAAGUGUGGGUAUCAAACAGGAUUAGAUACCCUUGUAGUC
rnacentral:rRNA from 1 species